rnacentral:rRNA from 1 species
UACGUAGGGGGCUAGCGUUAUCCGGAUUUACUGGGCGUAAAGGGUGCGUAGGCGGUCUUUUAAGUCAGGAGUGAAAGGCUACGGCUCAACCGUAGUAAGCUCUUGAAACUGGAGGACUUGAGUGCAGGAGAGGAGAGUGGAAUUCCUAGUGUAGCGGUGAAAUGCGUAGAUAUUAGGAGGAACACCAGUAGCGAAGGCAGCUCUCUGGACUGUAACUGACGCUGAGGCACGAAAGCGUGGGGAGCAAACAGG